AGCCUGAUGCAGCCAUGCCGCGUGUGUGAAGAAGGCCUUCGGGUUGAAAGAGCGUGGGAAGGUAGUGUAGUAAUACGCAUUAUAACGUAGCGACAGAAGAAGCACCGGCUAACUCCGUGCCAGCAGCGCGGUAAUCGGAGGGUCGAGCGUUAUCGAAUUCUGGGCGUAAAGCGCAUGCAGGGGUUUGUUAAGUCAGAUUGAAAGCCCGGGGCUCAACCUGGAAUUGCAUUUGAAACUGGCAGACUAGAGUACUGUAGAGGGGGUAGAAUUUCAGGUGUAGCGGUGAAAUGCGUAGAGAUCUGAAGGAAUACCGGUGGCGAAGGCGGCCCCCUGGACAGAUACUGACACUCAGAUGCGAAAGCGUGGGGAGCAAACAGGAUUAAUACCCUGGUAGUCACGCGUAAACGAUGUCUCUUGUUGUGCCUUGAGCCGUGGCUUCGGAGCUACGCGUAGUAGCCGC
rnacentral:rRNA from 1 species